rnacentral:rRNA from 1 species
AUUGAACGCUGGCGGCAUGCCUUACACAUGCAAGUCGAACGGCAGCACGGGAGCAAUCCUGGUGGCGAGUGGCGAACGGGUGAGUAAUAUAUCGGAACGUGCCCGGUCGUGGGGAUAACGUAGCGAAAGCUACGCUAAUACCGCAUACGAUCUACGGAUGAAAGCGGGGGGAUCGCAAGACCUCGCGCGAUUGGAGCGGCCGAUAUCAGAUUAGGUAGUUGGUGAGGUAAAGGCUCACCAAGCCGACGAUCUGUAGCUGGUCUGAGAGGACGACCAGCCACACUGGGACUGAGACACGGCCCAGACUCCUACGGGAGGCAGCAGUGGGGAAUUUUUGGACAAUGGGCGCAAGCCUGAUCCAGCAAUGCCGCGUGCAGGAUGAAGGCC